AAAUAUUUGUACAAGUAAUGGUACAAAUAGCCAUAAGCAAAAACCUUUGUGAGGGAGAAUGGAGACUAGUUGGAGGGGUGUGGCCUACUUCUUGCUCUUGUUGUUGGUUUUAUCAAAUGAAACAUGGUCCGUUGAUGCCAAGAUGUGCCGAUUACGGAGCACUCGAUUUGCAAGUAUCUGCUUGAUCAACUUAAGGUGUCAUCAAGUGUGCCUGAAUGAAGGUUUUAAGGGUGGGAGUUACUCAGGAUUUGCACUACAUAGCUACUACUGCUUUAAACCUUGGUGAAGUUGCUGCAGGCGUGCAUGUUUGGAUACUCAAUCAAACUGAAUUGCAAUUCAUUCAAUUCACAAUAGAAGAAAAUGCCAAAGUCUAAUGUGGGUAGUGAUUACUAUGGUUUCAAUUCCAUCUUAUAAUUAUGAAGUAAAACGGACCCACUCCACUUUGGUGAUUUCGACUGCAAUGGAUUGAAUGAAUUGCAAUUCAGUUUAGUUGAGCAUCCAGCCGUGCCCCAUAUAUUUUAUGUAGUUUCAAGACUUCCUAUUAGGAGUUAUAUAAUAUGAAUAAAUGGUCUAUAACUUUAGCAGCCCCAGUACUUUUGGCACAUGUGUCCUGUAUCCUAUCCAUUUAUCAGAUGGGGCUUGCUGCGAACAUACACUGUUAAAAAAUCUGUUCAGAU